rnacentral:lncRNA from 1 species
AAAAAGUGCCUUCAGCUCUAACUGGACCACCGCAUUUCUCACUGUUGUCAAUAAUCUCAUUGAAGUCCCUGAUUAAAAACCAGGGGCCUCCCCUGGGUGGGUGUAAGAUAGAGAUAUUGUUCCACACUUGUUGUCGUUUAGUGUGAUCUGGUUCUCCAUAGACAAAUGUUGUGUGAAACGUAUUUCUUUUGUAGCUUAUAGACGUAUCUAUGAAGUUGUUUAUAAAUGUAAUAACAGUUAGGUUAAUAUCUUUUUUCCAGGACAGAAAGAGACCAUCU